rnacentral:rRNA from 1 species
UGAGCAACCUAGCCCUUGACUCUGGAAUAACAGCUGGAAACAGCUGCUAAUACCGGAUACGACCUCCGAUGGCAUCAUCUGGAGGUGGAAAGCUCCGACGGUCAAGGAUGGGCUCGCGGCCUAUCAGCUUGUUGGUGAGGUAACGGCUCACCAAGGCUUCGACGGGUAGCCGGCCUGAGAGGGUGAUCGGCCACAUUGGAACUGAGACACGGUCCAGAUCCGUACGGG